rnacentral:rRNA from 1 species
CCUACGGGGGGCAGCAGUGGGGAAUAUUGGACAAUGGGGGCAACCCUGAUCCAGCCAUGCCGCGUGUGUGAAGAAGGCCCUCGGGUUGUAAAGCACUUUCAGUGAGGAAGAACGCCUGGUGGUUAAUACCCAUCAGGAAAGACAUCACUCACAGAAGAAGCACCGGCUAACUCCGUGCCAGCAGCCGCGGUAAUACGGAGGGGUGCGAGCGUUAAUCGGAAUUACUGGGCGUAAAGCGCGCGUAGGUGGCUUGAUAAGCCGGUUGUGAAAGCCCCGGGCUCAACCUGGGAACGGCAUCCGGAACUGUCAAGCUAGAGUGCAGGAGAGGAAGGUAGAAUUCCCGGUGUAGCGGUGAAAUGCGUAGAGAUCGGGAGGAAUACCAGUGGCGAAGGCGGCCUUCUGGACUGACACUGACACUGAGGUGCGAAAGCGUGGGUAGCAAACAGGAUUAGAUACCCCGGUAGUC